AUUGAACGCUGGCGGCAUGCCUUACACAUGCAAGUCGAACGGUAACAGGUCUUCGGAUGCUGACGAGUGGCGAACGGGUGAGUAAUACAUCGGAACGUGCCUAGUAGUGGGGGAUAACUACUCGAAAGAGUGGCUAAUACCGCAUGAGAUCUACGGAUGAAAGCAGGGGAUCGCAAGACCUUGUGCUACUAGAGCGGCCGAUGGCAGAUUAGGUAGUUGGUGGGAUAAAAGCUUACCAAGCCGGCGAUCUGUAGCUGGUCUGAGAGGACGAUCAGACACACUGGGACGGAGACACGGCCCAGACUCCUACGGGAGGCAGCAGUGGGGAAUUUUGGACAAUGGGCGCAAGCCUGAUCCAGCAAUGCCGCGUGCAGGAUGAAGGCCUUCGGGUUGUAAACUGCUUUUGUACGGAACGAAAAGCCCUGGGUUAAUACCCUGGGGUCAUGACGGUACCGUAAGAAUAAGCACCGGCUAACUACGUGCCAGCCGCCGCUGUAAGAC
rnacentral:rRNA from 1 species